GCAUCAAUGGUUCACUUAUAGAAUGUUUGCCUAUCACGCGUGUAGUCGAGGUUCGAAUCUCCGUCGAUGCA
rnacentral:tRNA from 1 species